UUAAGCGACUAAGCGUACACGGUGGAUGCCCUGGCAGUCAGAGGCGAUGAAGGACGUGCUAAUCUGCGAUAAGCGUCGGUAAGGUGAUAUGAACCGUUAUAACCGGCGAUUUCCGAAUGGGGAAACCCAGUGUGUUUCGACACACUAUCAUUAACUGAAUCCAUAGGUUAAUGAGGCGAACCGGGGGAACUGAAACAUCUAAGUACCCCGAGGAAAAGAAAUCAACCGAGAUUCCCCCAGUAGCGGCGAGCGAACGGGGAGCAGCCCAGAGCCUGAAUCAGUGUGUGUGUUAGUGGAAGCGUCUGGAAAGGCGCGCGAUACAGGGUGACAGCCCCGUACACAAAAAUGCACAUGCUGUGAGCUCGAUGAGUAGGGCGGGACACGUGGUAUCCUGUCUGAAUAUGGGGGGACCAUCCUCCAAGGCUAAAUACUCCUGACUGACCGAUAGUGAACCAGUACCGUGAGGGAAAGGCGAAAAGAACCCCGGCGAGGGGAGUGAAAAAGAACCUGAAACCGUGUACGUACAAGCAGUGGGAGCACGCUUAGGCGUGUGACUGCGUACCUUUUGUAUAAUGGGUCAGCGACUUAUAUUCUGUAGCAAGGUUAACCGAAUAGGGGAGCCGAAGGGAAACCGAGUCUUAACUGGGCGUUAAGUUGCAGGGUAUAGACCCG
rnacentral:rRNA from 1 species